CACAGAGGGUGCGAGCGUUGUCCGGAAUUACUGGGCGUAAAGGGCGCGUAGGCGGCUUGGUAAGUCGGGGGUGAAAGUCAGCGGCUCAACCGCUGGACUGCCUUCGAGACUGCCUGGCUUGAGCAUGGUAGAGGCUGGCGGAAUUCCCGGUGUAGCGGUGGAAUGCGUAGAGAUCGGGAAGAACAUCGGUGGCGAAGGCGGCCAGCUGGGCCACUGCUGACGCUGAUGCGCGACAGCGUGGGGAGCAAACAGG
rnacentral:rRNA from 1 species